rnacentral:rRNA from 1 species
UACGUAGGGCGCAAGCGUUGUCCGGAAUUAUUGGGCGUAAAGAGCUCGUAGGUGGUGUGUCGCGUCUGCCGUGAAAGCCCGGGGCUUAACUCCGGGUCUGCGGUGGAUACGGGCAGACUAGAGGCAGGUAGGGGAGAACGGAAUUCCCGGUGUAGCGGUGAAAUGCGCAGAUAUCGGGAGGAACACCGGUGGCGAAGGCGACUAUCUGGGCUGCAACUGACGCUGAGGCGCGAAGGCUAGGGUAGCAAACAGG